AGCUUUGUGUAAUGGCAGUAUUGUAGCCAAUGAGGUUUAUCCGAGGUGCAAUUAUUGAUAAUAGAAAACUUUUCCCAAUACCCCUCCGUGAUGACUUGAAAUAUAGUCAGCAUUGGCAAUUUUUGACACUCUCUACAGAGA
ensembl:snRNA U4 U4 spliceosomal RNA